rnacentral:rRNA from 1 species
AAAGAGCUAAUUAAUUAUAAAAUUUAUUGUAGCAAAAUUAUUUUUAAUAAUUAAUUUGAAAUGAAAUGUUAUUCGUUUUUAAAUAUAUCUAGUUUUUUUAGAAAAAAGUUUAAUUUUAAAUUUAUUUAAAAAAAAACUAAUUAAUUAGUUUUUUUAAAAUAAAUUUUAUAUUUUAGGGGAUAAGCUUUAAAUUAAAUUUUUAUAAUUAAAAUUUUUUAUUUUGAAAGUUUUAUAAUUUAUAUUGUUAAAAAAUUUUAAUUUAUUAUAAAUAAUUUUAAAAUAAUAAAAAUUUAAUUUAAUUUAAUUUUUUAUAAAAAAAUUUUUUUUAAUAUUAUAAAAUUAGUAAUAAUGAUAAAAUUAGUAUAUAAAAUUAAAUAAAUUAAUAAUAUAAUAUAAUAUUUUUAUUUAAUUAAUUAAAAGGAAUUCGGCAAAUAUUUAUAUUCACUUGUUUAACAAAAACAUGUCUUUUUGUAGUUAAUUUAAAGUCUAAUCUGCCCACUGAUUAAAUAUUAAAGGGCUGCAGUAUUUUGACUGUACAAAGGUAGCAUAAUCAUUAGUCUCUUAAUUGGUGACUUGUAUGAAAGAUUGGAUGAAAUAUAUACUGUCUCUUAAUUAAUUUAUAGAAUUUAAUUUUUUAUUUAAAAAGUUAAAAUAAUUUAAAAAGACGAGAAGACCCUAUAGAGUUUUAUAUUUUAAUUUAUUUUAGAUUAUUUAUUAAUUAUUAAAUAUUUAGAAUAAAUUAAAUUAUUUUAUUGGGGUGAUAAAAAAAUAAAUAAAACUUUUUUUUAAUAAAAAAACAUAAAUAAAUGAUUAAAUGAUCCAUUAAUAUUGAUUAUAAGAUUAAAUUACCUUAGGGAUAACAGCGUAAUUUUUUUUUUUAGUUCAAAUAAGAAAAAGAGUUUGCGACCUCGAUGUUGGAUUAAGAUAAAAUUUAAAUGCAAAAGUUUAAAAUUUUUG